UACGGAGGAGGCAAGCGUUAUCCGGAAUUAUUGGGCGUAAAGCGUCCGCAGGUGGCACCUCAAGUCUGCUGUCAAAGACCGGGGCUUAACCCCAGAAAGGCAGUGGAAACUGAAGUGCUAGAGUGCAGUAGGGUAGAGGGAAUUCCCGGUGUAGCGGUGAAAUGCGUAGAGAUCGGGAAGAACAUCGGUGGCGAAAGCGCUCUGCUGGACUGCAACUGACACUCAGGACGAAAGCUAGGGGAGCGAAUGGG
rnacentral:rRNA from 1 species